rnacentral:rRNA from 1 species
CUGCUCAAUGAAUAUUUAAAUUGCUGUAGUAUUUUGACUAUACAAAGGUAUUGAAAUAAGGUUUUAAUUGAAUGCUAAAAGAAUGGAAUAUCAAAGAAUAACUUUCUUAAAAUUAAAAAUUGAAAUUUUUUUAAUUUGUGUAAAAACAAUUAUAUAAAUUAAAGACAAGAAGACCCUAAGAAUUUUUAAAAUUUAAAUUAACACAUUUUUGUUUUAAUUAAAUUUUAACUGGGGCGGUUAAAAAAUAUUAAAAACUUUUUAAUUUUGAAAAUGACCCAUUAUUAAUGAAAAUAUGAUAAAAUACUCUAGGGAUAACAGCGUUAUAUUUUUUGAUAGAUCAUAUUGACAAAAAAGUUUGCGACCUCGAUGUUGGAUUAGGAUACUUUUUUAAUGAAGAUAUUAAAAUAAGAAGUUUGUUCAACUUUUAAAUUCCUACAUGAUCUGAGUUUAGAC